CUACGGGAGGCUCCAGUGGGGAAUAUUGCACAAUGGAGGAAACUCUGAUGCAGCAACGCCGCGUGGAGGAUGACACUUUUCGGAGCGUAAACUCCUUUUAUAUAGGAAGAUAAUGACGGUACUAUAUGAAUAAGCACCGGCUAACUCCGUGCCAGCAGCCGCGGUAAUACGGAGGGUGCAAGCGUUACUCGGAAUCACUGGGCGUAAAGAGCGUGUAGGCGGAUUAAUAAGUCAGAUGUGAAAGCCAAUGGCUCAACCAUUGAACUGCAUUUGAAACUGUUAAUCUAGAAUAUGGGAGAGGUAGAUGGAAUUUCUGGUGUAGGGGUAAAAUCCGUAGAGAUCAGAAGGAAUACCGAUUGCGAAGGCGAUCUACUGGAACAUUAUUGACGCUGAGACGCGAAAGCGUGGGGAGCAAACAGGAUUAGAUACCCGCGUAGUC
rnacentral:rRNA from 1 species